rnacentral:sRNA from 1 species
GCUAGUAUUUGUCAUAGUGAUAACACUAGUACUUAAAAAAGUGGCCAAGCAACAUCUGAAUAUCUGAGCUGGGACUUCCAGCCCUUGUAGUAUAUCUAAUAGUGGCCUAGCUUGGGGUCUGGGAGGAAAACAGGACAUUUGCUUGUAUAUGACACAGGUGGAUUGCAGCAUUUACAAGAAGUAUCCAGUGGUGGCCAUUCCCUGCCCCAUCACAUACCUGCCAGUUUGUGGUUCUGACUACAUCACCUAUGGGAAUGAAUGUCACUUGUGUACCGAGAGCUUGAAAAGUAAUGGAAGAGUUCAGUUUCUUCACGAUGGAAGUUGCUAAAUUCUCCAUGGACAUAGAGAGAAAGGAAUGAUAUUCUCAUCAUCAUCUUCAUCAUCCCAGGCUCUGACUGAGUUUCUUUCAGUUUUACUGAUGUUCUGAGUGGGGGACAGAGCCAGAUUCAGAGUAAUCUUGAUUGAAUGGAGAAAGUUUCUGUGCUACCCCUACAAACGCAUGCCUCACUGACAGACCAGCAUUUUUUUUUUAACACGUCAAUAAAAAAAUAAUCUCCCAGAAAGUU